GUGAACAUGAAGAAUAAAGAUUGGAAUUCAUCAUCAGUUGUCUCUAAACCUACAUUGCUUAAAGAGAUGAUCGAUUGAUUGCGAAAGGCGGUGAAUUAUGGUGCAUUGCAACGGAGUUGUUUGAAGAUCCCGCAAAAAGAGAAAUGUUUAUAAGUAUGCCGGAUGAUGAUGGAAGGAUAGCAUGGUUGAAACAUAAUAAUAUUACCAAGAAAAACAAUAUUCAUCAGGAUCUUAUGCAGAAUAAAUUACCGAAGGAAGAGCCCAAGGAAGAGAGUGAUCAUGAUGACAUGAGCCGGAUUCUGUUUUUUUGGUUAAUUAGAAACAUUUUACAGUAAUUUUUAUCUGCUGCUAAUAAUUAGUUUUCAUUAACAAUUCUAUGCUUAUCAAGACUUUGAGCAGUUUUAUCUUCUAGUUUGUUAUGGCACCUAUUUUACUGUUUUCUUGCGACUUGUUGCUAUCUUUAAGA